rnacentral:misc_RNA from 1 species
AAACAAGGUUUCCGUAGGUGAACCUGCGGAAGGAUCAUUAACACGUAUCCAACGUUAAACAACCCUGUGAACCUUCAUUUCUCCUCGAUCCUAACAAAAGCAAUCCUUGGACCAAUUUGAUUCAAGGACCUCUCUUGUCAGCCCUCGGGGAUUCGAUCCGGUCGUCGCAACUUAGGAUUGGCUUCUGCGGGUGGGUGAAAGUGUCACUGAUUGCCCAAGCAGAUAACCGAUUAAAACUCGGAUCAUCGAGUGCGGCGAUGAACAAGUCUCUGGGCGCAAGCCCCCAAAUUAACUACCUCUGCUGUCACUGUCUGUUGACAAUGGAUAUCUUGGUUCUC